GUCGAGAAUCAUUCACAAUGGGCGAAAGCCUGAUGGUGCGACGCCGCGUGGGGGAAGAAGGUCUUCGGAUUGUAAACCCCUGUCAUGUAGGAGCAAGACGCAAGUUUGAUAGUACUACAAGAGGAAGAGACGGCAAACUCUGUGCCAGCAGCCGCGGUAAUACAGAGGUCUCAAGCGUUGUUCGGAAUCACUGGGCGUAAAGGGUACGUAGGCUGCCGGAUAAGUCGUGCGUGAAAGGCAGGGGCUCAACCUCUGGAGUGCGCAUGAUACUGUUUGGCUGGAGUGAUGGAGGGGGAACCGGAAUUCUUGGUGUAGCAGUGAAAUGCGUAGAUAUCAAGAAGAAGACUCGUGGCGAAGGCGGGUUCCUGGACAUUCACUGACGCUGAGGUACGAAGGCCAGGGUAGCGAAAGGGAUUAGAAACCCUGGUAGUCC
rnacentral:rRNA from 1 species